GGUACGGGGGGGGCAAGCGUUGUUCGGAAUUACUGGGGCGUAAAGGGCUCGUAGGUGGCCAACUAAGUCAGACGUGAAAUCCCUCGGGCUUAACCGGGGAACUGCGUCUGAUACUGGAUGGCUUGAGUUUGGGAGAGGGACGCGGAAUUCCAGGUGUAGCGGUGAAAUGCGUAGAUAUCUGGAGGAACACCGGUGGCGAAGGCGGCGUCCUGGACCAACACUGACACUGAUGAGCGAAAGCCAGGGGAGCAAACGGG
rnacentral:rRNA from 1 species